UCCGGGGCCAGACUGAGGCUGCGGGGGCGAACGGAGAUGGAGACGCCCUAGGGGAAAGGAACCGCCUGGGGACCCGGUCUAUUGUCAAGGGAAUGGAAAAACACAACUUGUUGAGCGCCUACCCUGCGUCCAAUUCUAGGCUGUGUGAUUUUAUUAUGCAACCUUUACAGUUUCAGCCGAAGUUUUGAAACAUUGACCGGCUCCAAAGCCAGCGCCCUGGAGAGGAAGAAGAGAAGGAUGACUUCUGCCGCACUUCGACUAGACAGAAGAUUCCAGGCCUUCUGUGCCCAGGAUGUGUUACUUCCAACUCUCUAUUCAAAUAUACCAACCUAUACUCCCACA